rnacentral:rRNA from 1 species
CAGUAGCCGCGGGAAUACAGAGGGUGCAAGCGUUAAUUGGAAUUACUGGGCGUAAAGCGCGCGUAGGUGGUUUGUUAAGUUGGAUGUGAAAUCCCCGGGCUCAACCUGGGAACUGCAUCCAAAACUGGCAAGCUAGAGUAUGGUAGAGGGUGGUGGAAUUUCCUGUGUAGCGGUGAAAUGCGUAGAUAUAGGAAGGAACACCAGUGGCGAAGGCGACCACCUGGACUGAUACUGACACUGAGGUGCGAAAGCGUGGGGAGCAAACAGGAUUAGAUACCCGCGUAGUCCCUGUCUCUUAUAA